AAUCACUUCAGCCACCAAAGAAAGAAAAAAAAAUUGAAACACAAAAAAAAACUCCCUCCUCCUCUCAAUGGUCCGGCCUUUGGGUCAUUCCUGCGCCGCCGUUGCGCCACCACGGGCGGUGGCCGGCCUCGCGCAAUAGGGGCGUUCUAGACCCGAUUUUAGACCCAAUCAAAGGCUUGACCCAUUUAACCCGAAGGCCAAAUGGAAGGGCCCUCCAACUCGACCUUUCGGGGCCGAUUUCCUCGACGGACAGACUCCGACGGCGGCGCGAUGCAGAGCACUUGGAAGCAAAAAGAGCGAAAAACGAGUGAAAGUCGAAUCAUCAGAGCAAGCUACAGGAGCCACACGAGCUGAACUAUUCCACACGGGUGUGUGAUAGAUUGUGUCGAUUUCACGAAAUUGUGCUUUGCAUAGCAAAAAAUCACGAUUUUUAGGUUUUUCAGGUAUUCUAAGACAUAUAUAUGACAAAAAUAAUAAUAUAGGAGAGAGUCAUCAAAGAAUAUUCAAGAAAACAACUCGAAAAACACCAUUGAAGAUUCUCAUUUGAUUUCUUAGAAAGUUAUUAUUAGUUUCUUUAGUUCUUUCAGUUAUAUUGUCUUGGAUGUUUUUAUUUUUAAGUAUGAACUAAUUUUCUAAAUACUUAAGGAGAUGAACCCUAUGAUAGAUUCUGUCAUUUGAUUUUUAUUUUACGCAAUAAAUAUUUAGUUUCUUGUUCUCAA